rnacentral:tRNA from 1 species
AGACGUCGCCCUCUCACGGCGAAAUCAGGAGUUCGAGUCUCCUUGGGGCUACCA